UGGUUCUGGCAUCGAUGAAGAACGCAGCGAAAUGCGAUAAGUAAUGUGAAUUGCAGAAUUUAGUGAAUCAUCGAAUCUUUGAACGCACAUUGCACUCCUUGGUAUUCCGGGGAGUAUGCUUGUCCGAGCGUCAUUUCACCUCUCGAGCUCACGCUUGGUAUUGGAUUUUGCCGGUAAUCGACAUUUCCGAAAAUGAGUGGCGGGUUGUUGAACUUCAGCGAAUUGAAACAUUAUCGUAUCAAGUCUCAUCACGCCUUGCCAGAAAACCUUCAAUAUCUUGACCUCGGAUCAAGUAGGGAUACCCGCUGA
rnacentral:misc_RNA from 1 species